AUCCGGCUAUAGAGCAACUUUCCAACCCUAUUCAGAGAGACUGUUAUAAAUGAGAGUUUCCUGAACUUUGAAUCUCCAUAUGUAAGGGUUACCCAGGACAGAGGCGAACAAGAGGGAGAGGAGAAAAAGCCCAUAUCUAAUCCAGUUGGGUUGAGCGUGACUGUCAAGAGUGAAGCCUCAUCCUUCUCGAGCUGGAGACAAGGUGGUUGGUCCUGGUGUCCUCGAAAGCUUAUGGAAGCAGGAGGAGAAGACAUACUACGAGGUGCCAACCUGGAAGCAGAAAGCAGCCCUUGCCGGAUGACUCAACCCAUGGGGACCUUGAAGCUGGACUUUCUGUCCCCCAGAACUGUGAUUUAGAUUCGUAUCAAGUUGACAGCUGAAACUAUGACAGAAGGAGACUAGAAGUGGCCCACAAAAAUACAAGACGGUGGAUGUGACAGAUCAGAAGUCAUGAAUCAAGAGUCUGCCUUGGUGCCUCUCAGCCCUCAGCACAGACUCUAGACUGCUCCAGGAACUGCAAGAGGAGCGGUUCCCAUACAACUGGUACCCUCUCUCUGCCUUCUUCUCCCAAGGCCAGAAUCCCUAGGUGCCCUGGCCAUGUUUGUCACAGGGCCCACCUCUGUGCCAGCAUGGCUUCUUCCCCUUCUACUAAGCUAUGCUCCUCAGGUGUUCUCAGACACAACAGAACUGUUGCCCGUGGUGUGACCACAGACUCAUCUACAUGGAGGGUCCUGCUCCUUGCUCUGAUAAGCAGCUGUCUGGCUCAGGAUGGUCAGACAAUAGCCAUACACUGCAAGAGGAACUCCAGUCAGGCCAGUGCACAAUCAUCUGCUCUGAGUACCCAGGAACUUUUACCCAAGCCUGACCCCCCUCUCUGAUCACAACAGCCAACCCAGAAUGGCCAAGCCCGAGUUCUUUCCAAUCGAAUAAGAACAGUCACUGCAAUAUUUAAAAGAAAAGCCUCCAGAGAAAAUGUAUUUCUGUAGGUCCUGGCUAGUGUAUCCCAGGAUGCUUAGCAGUUUCCCAGGAUGCUUAGCAGUUUCCUUGUCCUUUAUUCAGUAGGUGUCAUCGACAACCUUUCCCUACCCCAAGUUGUGACAAACAAUACUAUUUGCAGACAUUGACAAAUGUCCACUCAGUAGGUGGGUGGACCUCCCAUCAGUUGAGAGCCACUGAUCCAGCUCUGUUGGCAUGGCCUCCAGCUCCUUCCUGCCCACCCACUGUACCUUCUGUGCUCUGCAUACUCCACCUGCCUGCAACACAGCUGACAUCCCACAGUUAGGCAGGCAGGAGGAAUGUGACCAUGUGGCACUUGAGGCUCAGAAAUCACCUAUUGUCAAUAGUGGGUGGAAGUUUCCACUCAUUGGAAACCAGCUGAUGGUAUUCAGUUGAUGGAUUUUCAUACAAGUCAGUGUUUUCUCACAAAAAUAACAACUUUACCUCCCCUUAUGCCAGGUCUGUUCUUUUUACAAAGCACAGCCUUCAUGUGUUACCACCAAACAUCAAGGUUGUAGAGACUGUGAGCCAUCUAAAAUACUCAUGGCAACAAACACAGGAAAGACCUGGGGGGCGGGGAAACUGCAUGCUAUAGAAUUGUGUCAUUGGGAUUCUGCGAGAUGGUUUUCUUCACUCCUAAGUUACCUGUGCUCUAACUUCCAUAGUUCUGUAGCACACACACAACAGCCUACAAGCAGCAUCCACAUAGGAGAGAAAACAUGCACUGCAUGUCUUUUGAGGUCCUGGUUACUUCAUUCAGGAUGAUUUUUUUUUUCUAACUCCUUCCAUUUGCCUGCAGUUGUCACGACCUCACUUUUGUUAACAGCUGACAAAUAUUCAUUGUGCAAAUGUAGCGCAGUUUAAUUAUCCAUUUGCCAGUAGAUGGGCAUCUUGGCUGUUUCCGACUUCUUGCUGUUAUGACUAGAACAGUAACAAUCAUGGAUGAAUAUGAAUAUUCACAGUAGCAUGUAGUCUUCUGUGUAGAAGCCCAAGAGUAGGAUAGCUGGAUCUUGAGGUAGCCUGAUUCUCAGCUUAUGAGGACCUUCCAUAUUGAUAGUGCCUGAAUCCAUUUGCACUCCCAUCAGAAAUGAAUAAGUGUCCCCCCUUUCCCUGCAUCCUCACCAGCAUUAGCUGCCAUUUGUAUUAUGGAUCCUGGCCUUUCCAACUUGGCUAAGGUAAAAAUAUCAAUUUAUCAUUAAUAAAUUCAUUAUUUAAUAA